rnacentral:rRNA from 1 species
UACGUAGGUGGCAAGCGUUGUCCGGAUUUACUGGGCGUAAAGAGCGCGCAGGCGGUCGUUCAAGUCGCGUGUGAAAGCCCCCGGCUCAACUGGGGAGGGUCACGCGAUACUGAUCGACUGGAAGGCAUGAGAGGGUAGUGGAAUUCCCGGUGUAGUGGUGAAAUGCGUAGAUAUCGGGAGGAACACCAGUGGCGAAGGCGACUACCUGGCCUGUUCUUGACGCUGAGGCGCGAAAGCUAGGGGAGCAAACGGG